rnacentral:rRNA from 1 species
CAUCUAAGUACCUGAAGGAAGAGAAAGAAAUUCGAUUCCGUAAGUAGCGGCGAGCGAACGCGGAUUAGCCCAAACCAAUACAGUUUUCUUUAUUGGGGUUGCGGACAUAUCAUAACGAAGAGGUAUCGUAAUUGAAGAGGUUUGGAAAGACCCACCACAGAAGGUAAUAGUCCUGUAUGUUAAACGAGAAGACUUUAGAUAUGAUCCA